AUUGAUCAGCCUUCUGUGAAUCAUGGAGUCAAUGCUAAUUAUUACCCAGCUGGGGAUUGGCAGCAACACAACUAAGCACAAGGGACUGAACAUCCUCUAUUCCUGGCACUUAAAAGAGCAGAGCAGCAUGGGGUCUUAAAGACAGCAUGUUUCCAGUAAUGAUGUGCUGCCAGAAUUGACUUAGUCCAGGCAAACAGGCAUUUGGGAAAUGAGAGGUGAGUAGAGACCACUGCAGGCACACUACACACGGAUUGCAAGAGUACCACCCAUGUGACAUCAUGCUAUGGCCCAUCCCAAAGUCUGUCAGCACGCCUUGCACCGUGGCAGAAGCUCUUGCUAAAAUCCUGGAGACAAAAGAGGAGUGGAAUGACAGCAGGGGACAAAGAAGAGAUGGAGGCAGAGCAUGCUGCAGUGUCUUGAUGCUCAUAUGAAGGAAAGAAUCAGGGAUUGCAAGUUUAGAAUGUUACAAAUUGAAACCUUAACCUCCAAAAGACACAAGCCAUGAUGUGUGCAUCUCUUCUGCUCUUCCUUGCACUCACUUCCCAAGAACCAGGUGUCCUUGUCCACUUGUUAAGCAUUCCCCAUGGGUUUACCUAAUCUGAGGUCCAUGUAUUCCUUUUUCUGUCCUUCCUGUCCACAAAUGAUGAAGCAAGUGCUAACCAUUAAUCAAUACCAAGACAGAGGAGGAAAGAGAGGAAUAAAUGAAUGGUCAUCUCAUGGCAUUUUUUUCCCUGAUUUCUCUAUCAAAAGUAAGUAGAGUUUUGUGAAGAGAGAUUUAAUUG